rnacentral:tRNA from 1 species
GCCGACGUAGCUCAAUGGCAGAGCAGCGGUUUUGUAAACCGCAGGUUAUGGGUUCGAAUCCCUUCGUCGGCU